rnacentral:rRNA from 1 species
UGGGGAAUAUUGGGCAAUGGACGCAAGUCUGACCCAGCAACGCCGCGUGAAGGAAGAAGGCUUUCGGGUUGUAAACUUCUUUUAAGGGGGAACAGUAGAAGAGGGUACCCCUUGAAUAAGCCACGGCUAACUACGUGCCAGCAGCCGCGGUAACACGUAAGGUGCGAGCGUUGUUCGGAAUCAUUGGGCGUAAAGGGCAUGUAGGCGGUCUGUCAAGCCAGGCGUGAAAGCCAGGGGCUCAACCCCUGAACUGCGCUUGGAACUGGCGGACUGGAGUCGCUGAGGGGGAACCGGAAUUCCUGGUGUAGGGGUGAAAUCUGUAGAUAUCAGGAAGAACACCGAUGGCGAAGGCAGGUUUCCAGCAGACGA